UCUUCUCAUUUCUUACACUCUACUUGAACUGUCCCUCCAUGGUUCUCCUCCAGGGUGAGGAUGGCUCAGCCCCAGGCAGGCUAAAACGUACACUGGAGGAGCAGGUGGAUUGCUUGGUGCCUGCCCAGUUGAUGGAGGACUCAGUCUACAUCCACACCUUCUUCAAAACCUACAGGAGGUGUGCAGAUGCCCAGCAGGUC